rnacentral:piRNA from 1 species
UCCUUAACUUAUUGAAGUUCU